rnacentral:rRNA from 1 species
GACGAACGCUGGCGGCGUGCCUAAUACAUGCAAGUCGAACGCAGUGGGGACGGGUGAGUAACACGUGGGUAACCUCCCAUCAGAGGGGAUAACACUUGGAAACAGGUGCUAAACCGAUACUGAUGGAUGGACCCGCGGUGCAUUAGCUAGUUGGUGAGGUAACGGCUCACCAAGGCCACGAUGCAUAGCCGACCUGAGAGGGUGAGCGGCCACAAUGGGAAUGAGACACGGCCCAGACGACUACGGGAGGCAGCAGGAGGGAAUUGUCGGCAAGGGUCGAAAGGCUGAGCGAGCAACGCCGCGGUAGGGAAGAAGGUUUUCGGAUCGUAAAACUCUGGUGUUAGAGAAGAGGUAUCUAACCAGAAAGCCACGGCUAACUACGUGCCAGCAGCCGCGGUAAUUG